AUAAUGGGUCAGCGACUUAUAUUCUGUAGCAAGGUUAACCGAAUAGGGGAGCCGAAGGGAAACCGAGUCUUAACUGGGCGUUAAGUUGCAGGGUAUAGACCCGAAACCCGGUGAUCUAGCCAUGGGCAGGUUGAAGGUUGGGUAACACUAACUGGAGGACCGAACCGACUAAUGUUGAAAAAUUAGCGGAUGACUUGUGGCUGGGGGUGAAAGGCCAAUCAAACCGGGAGAUAGCUGGUUCUCCCCGAAAGCUAUUUAGGUAGCGCCUCGUGAAUUCAUCUCCGGGGGUAGAGCACUGUUUCGGCAAGGGGGUCAUCCCGACUUACCAACCCGAUGCAAACUGCGAAUACCGGAGAAUGUUAUCACGGGAGACACACGGCGGGUGCUAACGUCCGUCGUGAAGAGGGAAACAACCCAGACCGCCAGCUAAGGUCCCAAAGUCAUGGUUAAGUGGGAAACGAUGUGGGAAGGCCCAGACAGCCAGGAUGUUGGCUUAGAAGCAGCCAUCAUUUAAAGAAAGCGUAAUAGCUCACUGGUCGAGUCGGCCUGCGCGGAAGAUGUAACGGGGCUAAACCAUGCACCGAAGCUGCGGCAGCGACACUGUGUGUUGUUGGGUAGGGGAGCGUUCUGUAAGCCUGCGAAGGUGUGCUGUGAGGCAUGCUGGAGGUAUCAGAAGUGCGAAUGCUGACAUAAGUAACGAUAAAGCGGGUGAAAAGCCCGCUCGCCGGAAGACCAAGGGUUCCUGUCCAACGUUAAUCGGGGCAGGGUGAGUCGACCCCUAAGGCGAGGCCGAAAGGCGUAGUCGAUGGGAAACAGGUUAAUAUUCCUGUACUUGGUGUUACUGCGAAGGGGGGACGGAGAAGGCUAUGUUGGCCGGGCGACGGUUGUCCCGGUUUAAGCGUGUAGGCUGGUUUUCCAGGCAAAUCCGGAAAAUCAAGGCUGAGGCGUGAUGACGAGGCACUACGGUGCUGAAGCAACAAAUGCCCUGCUUCCAGGAAAAGCCUCUAAGCAUCAGGUAACAUCAAAUCGUACCCCAAACCGACACAGGUGGUCAGGUAGAGAAUACCAAGGCGCUUGAGAGAACUCGGGUGAAGGAACUAGGC
rnacentral:rRNA from 1 species